AUUGAACGCUGGCGGCAGGCCUAACACAUGCAAGUCGAACGCGUGGCGGACGGGCGAGUAGUGUGGGGGAAACUGCGCGAGGGAGGGGGAUAACUACGGGAAGCGGUAUCAUAUAGCGUAUACCAUCGUAAGUGCCUAGAUGUGAUGAGCGUGUAGGGGGGGUAACGGCUCACCUAGGCGACGAUCCCUAGCUGGUCUGAGAGGAUGACCAGCCACACUGGGACUGAGACACGGUCCAGACUCCUACGGGAGGCAGCAGUGGGGAAUAUUGCACAAUGGGCGCAAGCCUGAUGCAGCCAUGCCGCGUGUAUGAAGAAGGCCUUCGGGUUGUAAAGUACUUUCAGCGGGGAGGCGUUACUCGCAGAAGAAGCACCGGCUAACUCCGUGCCAGCAGCCGCGGUAAUUC
rnacentral:rRNA from 1 species